rnacentral:miRNA from 1 species
CACACACGGGUCCCAAGCUG